AACACUUGGCACUACAACAAACCCAACCUAAGAAAGCAGAAAGAAACAACAGAGCAGAAUAUGGCCUUCCCCACCCAUCAUGAGAAGUCUGGACUAUACCAUCCAUUACCAUGGUCCCAGGCUCCUCAAACACAGCUUUUUGUGAAAGCCUCCUUUCUGCAACAGGCUCCAGCAUUUCACAUUCCUCUUCUCCACAAAAGAGCCUUUGGAUACACAAAACCAACCAGCCCUUGUUAUUUUUCUUUCCAAUUCUAACAUCCUGUGACACGUAUUUUGUUCCCAGCUGCCCCAUGACUUAUUGUAGCGGGAAGAUCUGCCACUUCUUAAUAUCCCUGUGAUAAACCUCUAAAAUGCAGGGAACUGCAUUUUGGAUAUUCUGUUUGUACUGAAGUAGGCUUUUAACACUUCGGGGAAAACAAGACACCUUCAUGCUACUUUAAUUCAAUCACACCCUUGAAGAAGGAUUUGUGCAGGGAGCUUUUCAGCAUAGAGUGAAGCCUCCACCUUUCCUUUUAGGGGUGUAACAUCAGAUUGAGAGCAGGGAUACAGAUUUCCAGACAAAUAACAAGUGAGUUUGCAGGUUCAUGUGAUCUGUUUUCCACACACCUUGUGCAAACUUCAGAUACUGGAAUGGAAGAUUAAUUACUCAGGUUAUGUGAGAGCAAGGAGCAAGACCCUCCAUAAGAAAAAAUUGUAUAGAGGCUAAGGGUCAAGGUAUGCUUCAAAUGUUCCCAGUUAUCUCUUUUACUAUGUACAAAAGACAAGAGCAGAAAAGGAUUUCUUAAUUCCACUCUUCUUCCCCUUUCUUGUAGUAGGGGGAUUUGCUUAAUUCUUUACAGCUGACCCAGCCCUUCCUUUCUGACAGUCUUUGUGCAGAGUUUACGGCAUGCAGCUGCAGUCCUUCUGCUCAGGGCAGGAGUGUUAACCCUUCCCCUGACAAUCCUUGAACUGGUUAUUAUAUACAGUUCAUCACACCAAUCUGAUUUGAGACACUGCCAGAUGGUUGUUAUUUAGGUGAAAGCAGACCCAGAAUAAUAGUCAAAAACACUACAGGGUGAGUUUCUAAACUACUAAUUUGUGAUCAGAGCAUGGAAGGAAGAAAUAUGUUGGCAUGAAGAAGGGGCAUGGAUGAGAUCUGUAUGUUCUUUCGGCCCUUUGCCUCCUUCCUCUGGAAGAACUUCCAAACUACAGUCAAGAGCUUUUUCUUCCUUUAACUGUCUUGUUUUGGACCUUGGGUUGUUGGCUUUCCAUCUAGCUAUUUAUGGAAAAAGUGACCAGAAUCCUCUGAGCCUGCCACUGGAGACCACUUUCCCAACUCAGUUGAAAGAUUUUGUGAUCAGCAGGUUUCCCUCUCCUCUUCAAGAGUGUCAGAGACUGAAAUGGUUCAAGCUUUAAAUAUUGUUACGAAGGAGUUUUACCUAUUCUAGCAAAAACUGUACAAAGAAGCUGUGAACACCAAAGCCCAGCCCUCCCUGAAGAUGCCUUUGGACUGUGAGUUAAGCUGCCUAGGUAAGAUAAAGGAGACACUGUUGUUCAGUCAGACCAAGAAGAACUAAGCAAGGCUGAAGGAGAAGAAUGCAUCCACAAGAAAGCCAAACUCAGCAGAAAAUCAUCCCUAGCCAGCUUUGGGGGAGGCCAUAGCCCACAGAGGCCAGGUUUGCACAGGCUUCCCCCCAGCCCCCAACAAAGCAGGGAGGAGGAGAGUUUUGGGUGUGUGGAGCAACCUCUGGUCAGAGGCAGUGAACACCCAUCCUCCCUUACACAAACCCAUCCAGCUGUGAAACCCCACCCUUGGAAAGGCCACAUCCAUGGGACAUUCACCUGAGAGGCAGCUGAGGGGGUGUCAGAAUCCAUCAAAGAUCCUCCUGAGGGAGGUACCUGGGAUUCCCACCUGGCCUGAUACAUCAAUCCACUGGAUUCUGUUUUUCAAGGGGACCCUCACCACCAAAAAGACCAGAUGGAGAGAACCAUCGGGACACUGGUGGGAUCCUACGGACUGGUGAUAUUUUAUCUGUCUCUGAGACUCUACUUCUGUCCCCCCCACCUCUUUUUCUUUCUCUCUCUCUCUCACCCACACACAUUUACUGUUAAACAAAAUCAAUACUAUUGACUUUGACAUAUGGUCUCAUUUGCACUUUUAUUCAGACAGAGGCAUUUCUAAUAAUUUUGAGAACCAGACCAUGGCAAAGGGGCAUCAUGUUCUCAUCUGUGCUGGCAGCAGCAGGAGGAUCAUAGAGAUCACUAAACUCCCCUGCGCUUGCACCACUUAUUUAAUGGAAUUUUUACCAGGGAGUGUUCACUGGGAUUUCAAAAGGAAUACAGGUUAUCCUCUAAAUCUCUGCAUCUGCAGGACAGGGAAUUUUAAUU